GUAAGUAUAGUUUAAAUUAAAAUAUUAGAUUGUGAUUCUAAAGACAGAGGUUAAAGCCCUCUUACUCACC
rnacentral:tRNA from 1 species